ACUCCUACGGGAGGCAGCAGUGGGGAAUAUUGCACAAUGGGCGCAAGCCUGAUGCAGCCAUGCCGCGUGUGUGAAGAAGGCCUUCGGGUUGUAAAGCACUUUCAGUCGUGAGGAAGGUAGUGUAGUUAAUAGCUGCAUUAUUUGACGUUAGCGACAGAAGAAGCACCGGCUAACUCCGUGCCAGCAGCCGCGGUAAUACGGAGGGGGUUAGCGUUGUUCGGAAUUACUGGGCGUAAAGCGCGCGUAGGCUGACUAUUAAGUCAGGGGUGAAAUCCCGGGGCUCAACCCCGGAACGGCCCUUGAUACUGGUAGUCUUGAGUCCGAGAGAGGUGAGUGGAAUUCCGAGUGUAGAGGUGAAAUUCGUAGAUAUUCGGAGGAACACCAGUGGCGAAGGCGGCUCACUGGCUCGAUACUGACGCUGAGGUGCGAAAGUGUGGGGAGCAAACAGGAUUAGAUACCCUGGUAGGAUAGCGU
rnacentral:rRNA from 1 species